GUAGUACGCUAGACAAUCGCUGGUAUGAUCUUUUAGAAAGUACGAGAGGAAAGUCCGGGCAGCAAAGAGUAGGACAGUUGCUAACGGCAACCGGGGGCGACCCUAGGGAAAGUGCAAAAGUGCCACAGAAACGAUACCGCCUGUCUUUAUAGAUAGGUAAGGGUGAAACGAGCGAGGUAAGAGCUCGCAGCGAUACGUGGUGACGCGUAGAGGAGGUAAACCCUGUCCGCUGCAAGGAGAUGCACCACUAUAGCUACUCGCUAGGUGUAUCGGUAUCCGCUUGAACAAAUUGGCAACAAUUUGUCUAGAUAGAUGAUUGUCGACAACAGAACCCGGCUUACAGGCGUACUAUUAUU
rnacentral:RNase_P_RNA from 1 species